rnacentral:misc_RNA from 1 species
CCUACACUGCCAUGGAUGU